UCUGAGUUUGAGGCCAGCCUGGUCUACAGAGUGAGCUCCAGGACAGCCAGGGCUACACAGAGAAACCCUGUCUCGAAAACCAGAAAAAAAAAAAAAAAAAAAAAAAAAAGGCUUAUGUACCUCUCUGACUUUAAGCAGUGUUUCUGGUUGGGGGUGGCAAUCUACAAGCUGUGACCCAGCCACUCUCUACUAUGCACACAAACCAAGAGAAAGAGCUUAGAAACUUUAUAGUAAUUUGACCCUGUCUCAGUAUCAGGAAACAUUAUAAAAGUAUCAGUCAAUGCUGCAUUCCUCCCUCAGCUUACACUGGAAAUUGGUCCUUGAUUACUCUGGGAAGCAGACUGAAAAGAGCCAACAAUUCAACUCUCAGUGCCUGUGCUGCCUCUCUGAACAUUCUGCCCCCUGUCCCACCCACAGUCCCCAGCACCCCG
rnacentral:lncRNA from 1 species